rnacentral:ncRNA from 1 species
AUCUGUGAAGAGGCGGAUAUAAACAAAUAAGAUCAGAAGAUGCUAUGGAGCUUUAAUUCAUUAAUGCAAAUAAAAACUCAUACAAGCCUACAGGCUCUAGCCUCCUAGCCCUGCAUUAAAAAUUUUGGUUGGGGUGAACUUGGAGCAUAAUUCAACCUCCAAACAACCUAAACUAAGACCUCACUAGACUAAGCGAGUUAAUACACAUUGACUCAAUAAUUUGAUCAACGGAAUAAGUUACCCUAGGGAUAACAACACAAUCCUAUUCUAGGUCCAUAUCGACAAUAAGGUUUACAACCUCAAUGUUGGAUCAGGACAUCCUAAUGGUGUAGCUGCUAAUAAGGGUUUGUUUGUUCAAUGAUCAAAGUCCUACAUGAUCUGAGUUCAGACCGGAGUAAUCCAGGCCAGUUUCUAUCUAUUU